GACGAACGCUGGCGGCGUGCCUAACACAUGCAAGUCGUGCGAGAAAGUUCCUUCGGGAGCGAGUAAAGCGGCGCACGGGUGAGUAACACGUAGGUAACCUGCCCCCCAGUCUGGAACAACUAGAGGAAACUCUAGCUAAUGCCGGAUGAGACCACGAUCCCCUUCGGGGGUUGCGGCCAAAGAUGGCCUCUACUUGUAAGCUAUCGCUGAGGGAUGGGCCUGCGGGCCAUUAGCUUGUUGGUGAGGUAACGGCUCACCAAGGCUGUGAUGGCUAGCUGGUCUGAGAGGAUGACCAGCCACACUGGGACUGAGACACGGCCCAGACUCCUACGGAGGCAGCAGUGGGAAUAUUGCGCAAUGGCGAAAGCCUGACGCAGCGACGCCGCGUGGGUGA
rnacentral:rRNA from 1 species